AGAGCGAACGCUGGCGGCAGGCCUAACACAUGCAAGUCGAGCGCGUGUAGCAAUACACGAGCGGCAGACGGGAGAGUAACACGUGGGAACGCGCCCUUCGGUUCGGAAUAACUCAGGGAAACUUGAGCUAAUACCGGAUACGCCCUUACGGGGAAAGAUUUAUUGCCGAAGGAACGGCCCGCGUCCGAUUAGCUAGUUGGUGAGGUAACGGCUCACCAAGGCGACGAUCGGUAGCUGGUCUGAGAGGAUGACCAGCCUCACUGGGACUGAGACACGGCCCAGACUCCUACGGGAGGCAGCAGUGGGGAAUAUGGACAAUGGGCGCAAGCCUGAUCCAGCCAUGCCGCGUGGAUGAUGAAGGCCUUAGGGUUGUAAAGUCUUUAACGGGAGAUAAUGACGGUACCGUAGAAUAAGCCCGGCUAACUUCGUGCCAGCAGCCGC
rnacentral:rRNA from 1 species